AAAAGAGCUUGAAACCUACCAAGCCGGAGGACUGUGCUGUGCCUCUCUCGCCCACAUUUUCCCCAAGCACUCUCAGGAACCUGGCAACAGACUGAGAGAAAGGAAUGAAAGGAUGGAAGAAUUACAAGAUCAGGCACUGCUGUCUGUCUGUUCCACGGAUGUAACCACAGCACACGCGUGGCUCACGGUACUAGUGUGAUAAAUGCUUGUUACAUGAAGGCGUGAACAGGGAUGAGAAGAGACUUCCUGGAGAAACAAAAGGACUAACAAUCAGGAAGGGGAGGUGAUCGGGGCAGGAGUAAAGUGGACACCUCAGCAAAGCCAUUCGCUGUGAUCUCUGAUUGUGCAGUGUCAUGUCCUGUCACCAGAGCCCCCUCGUGUUUGAUGUUGGCCAAUGCCGCCAGCAUGAUCUAGCAGGCCAAAUCCUAAUCUACCAUUCUCUGACACCAGCUGGUCCCCUGGGUCGUCCACCCGAUGUCCCCCAUUCUCCCCACUUGGCCUCCCCCACAGGCUCUCGGCAAAGGACCGUGGGAGGCACCUGUGACACUGCCCUUUUCCUGUGCAGCUGUUUUUCUUCUUCAUUCUUUUCACUCCUCGUUACUCUUUUUUUUUUCACUCUCAGCCCACACAAAACUAGGAACUUUGUUAUUCUACUUAUUUUUCUGUACUCUGUCUGUUUGCACACAGAUGGAUAUCUGAGAGCCAGCGAACUUUCUUUACCUCCUAGUAUCAUUUCAUGAAAAUUAGUAGCACCUGCACAAUGGGGCCUUGGAGACAGGAAUAAAAGGAAAAAUCUGGAAUGGAAUCACAUGACGCAACAGGCUAUGAAGACUCCCUGCCCGGCUGCUAUAUGUCUGGUAAACAGAAUAAAUAGUACUUGAGCA
rnacentral:lncRNA from 1 species